rfam:Picea glauca, whole genome shotgun sequence.
UAUUUUGUACAUGGCUAUAGUAUUAAUGCAUCGGAUCCCAUUUGAACUCUGCAGUUAAGCAUGCUUGGGCUAGAGUAUUAUUGGGAUGGGUGACCGCCUAGAAAUUCCUAUUGUUUUACAUGC